GGAACAGUAGCUCAGUUGGUUAGAGUGCUCGGCUUAUAUCCAAGCGGUCGGAAGUUCGAGUCUUCCCUGUUCCA
rnacentral:tRNA from 1 species